rnacentral:rRNA from 1 species
UUCGGUUAAGUUAAUAAGGGCGCACGGUGGAUGCCUUGGCACUAGGAGCCGAUGAAGGACGGGACUAACACCGAUAUGCUUCGGGGAGCUGUAAGUGAGCUGAUCCGAAGAUUUCCGAAUGGGGGAACCCACUGUUCGUAAUGGAACAGUAUCCUUGCUUGAAUACAUAGAGCAUGGAAGGCAGACCCAGGGAACUGA